rnacentral:rRNA from 1 species
UACGUAGGGUGCGAGCGUUAAUCGGAAUUACUGGGCGUAAAGCGUGCGCAGGCGGUUUUGUAAGCCAGAUGUGAAAGCCCCGGGCUUAACCUGGGAAUGGCAUUUGGGACUGCAAGGCUUGAGUGCGGCAGAGGAGACUGGAAUUCCUGGUGUAGCAGUGAAAUGCGUAGAUAUCAGGAGGAACACCGGUGGCGAAGGCGGGACUCUGGGCCGAUACUGACGCUGAGGAGCGAAAGCGUGGGGAGCAAACAGG